CAUUUCCAGGUCUUUUGCUGGAGGAAUUCUGUAUGCUACCCUGCAAUCAAAUAAGCUCUCAGAUGUUUGCACUGACUGCCAAAAUUAACAUCCAAUUGAGGCAUCCAUGUCAACCCACUGGAAUAGUGGAAAGCAGCUGCAAUGGAGAUGUCUGUCCUAUUGGUGUGACUGGAUGAUUGACAACCUCACCAUCUCUGACAUCACUUCCGAUGUUUGUCAACCUGGAUCCGCCCCUUCCUGCCUAACCUGUAUAUACCAGAAGCGCCGCCAUCGUGGGUAGUCUAAUCUCAGAAUUGCGUCUACAGAGACAUUCUUUUUUGCUGAAUAGCAUUUAUUAUUUUAUCUUUACAAUAUACAGAGUCACAGUGUCACCCCAAACUCUUAUCUUGUCUUUGUUCUCUUUAUAAAAGGAAGAGAUAGC